GGCUAUUCUGUGCGGGAUGGAGUUACUGUGAUUAUGAGCUGCUGUGUAGCUAGAAGCUCCUGCAUGUCCGGUGUCCCCCGUGUGCCCGGGCCCGUGCUGGCUUCUUCCUCCUCGGGGCCAGUAAAGGUGAAGUUCCUCGCUGUGAGUGCACAGAGCUCCAGGCUGAGUCCGGCCUCGCAGCCCUGGAAGCCGGGUCCCUCUGCCUUCGCCCCCGCCCCCUGUCCCCAGGUCCUCUACGCUGGGUGCUGCAGGGUCAGCUUUUCCUCCCAGAAACCGCCAGGCCCCGGCGGCCUUUGCCCUUGGUUUUGCUGAAUGCUCCACGAGUCUGGGCUUACUGCCUCACCUCACAGUCACAGUUAAGGACCUUGGGGCUAAGAAUGGAUGAAGAACCCCCAGAGGCAUGGCGUCGGAAGUCUGGACCUCUUCGUCAAGGCCUACGGUGUCGCGGGUGCUGCUCAGGGUGCCAGGCCAGGGGGGAUUGGCCCCGACCAGUGAAAGUGGUAGAUCCAGGGCAAGGCACGGACACCGUCCCGUCCGUCAGUCUGUCCCUGCUGGCCCUGUGGCCAUAACCUAGAUGCCGCUGGGGGUGAAAUGGGGGUUCCUUUCCCGUCUGGAAAAUGCUGGAGGUUUGAUACGCUCAAAGCCCAGAGGCCUCUUCCUGUGGGGCACGAGAAAGGUUGUCUAUAGUCUGACCAGUCUGGGGAAUUUUGGGACCAAGUGUUAAGAAACCCAUUAAAACAUUGUUUUCAUGCUUCAGUGGAUUGUUUUAAUGAACAAUAUUUUCUCAUUAUAAGAGUAAUACUGGUUCAUUAUCAGAAGUUUGGGGAAAUAUGUCUAAUUAGUCACCUAACAGCCCAGAAACACGGACUAAAUAUUUUGGCAUGUGUCUUCGCAGUUUUUAAGGCGUGCUGUGGCGAACGUCGCUGAUGACAUGUGCCUGGAAGCGGCCGAGUAUUUCCUCGGUGAAUUCCUAGAAGAGGCACUGCGGGGCCAGAGACUGACGCCGUCUGCCGGAACGCCCGCCGGACGCGCGUGCGCAGUGCGGUCCGCCUGCGGGCCGGCCGUUGCUUUCCUCUCCGGCGGCCUCUGCAUCGCUUCGGUUUUAAUUUCUCUAACUGCCGGUGAUGUUGAGCAUCUUUUCAUUUUGCUGUUGGCCGUUUGGAAAAUUGCCUUGGUCAAGUUUUAAAUUGGCGAUGUAGCCAAGUCUCUUGAGUUUUUUAUGGUUUCCGGCUUUGGUGUGAGGCCCGGAGUGGCUUUUACCAUUCUGAGAUUUCGUAAGAGUUCACCGAUUUCAUGGCUAGAUUUCAAAAUAAGAGAAAGACUUAAGGAUGGAGGGGCUGAAGCCAGAGGAUCCUUUAUCUGUAUCUGUUUUCCCUGAAGGCGUUCACAGCACCGUUGUAAUUCAAAACACUCAGAUGACAGAAGACAUCAUUUCCUAUGUCUGGACCUCUUCGUCAAGGCCUACGGUGUCGCGGGUGCUGGAGGAAGUGUGACAGUCCCUAGUGGGGGCGAAACUGAUGUCCUCUGCCAUGCCGCGGCGUGUAGAUGCCGGCCCACACUUUGAGGAAUGGACCCUGAGUCCUGCUCUCGCGUGUCCAGGCGGGUCUCUGCUUAUCAAAGCAAAAAACUGAGAAUGCCCAGCAGGAGGGCAUCUGUGAAAAGGAUAGUACAUCGCGCACCGCUGAGCCUCUGAUGGAAAGAACGAGGCGGGCCUGUGCCCAGGGGACGACGUGACACUGAGUUUGCCUGUUUCUAAGGGAGCGUUCUAACCUGAAGCAGAGCAGAAGCCUCCUGAGAGGCAAUGAUUCGGGAGGGCCCAGUCACGCUGUAAACAGAAACUGGACACAUCUCAGAUUUGUUCAAGAAAGAGCCAGAUUGCUUCCAGCUCGAGAUCCGAGAGGAAAAAGAUUUUCUUGCUCUGAGUCUUCGCAGAAAACAAAUUGGACGAAGGCCCUUAUUAGGCAAUUUAGGGAUGUUUGCUCCUGUCCUCAGAGGGCCUGGUGGCCCCAGGAGGUGGCCGGAAUGGGACUCAGGACCAGGAGGGAGGACACCUUUGAAGCUCCAUUCAGCGUAAGAGGCUGCAGAAAACGUGUGAAGACAUCAGAAGAUGACGAGGCUUAGAUACACGAAUCGGAACUAGAAUUUUAACCCUCGGGAUUAAAACGAUGCAAAUGCGAGAAGCAAAACGUGUUCUGGCGACACUCGCCCCAGCCGAGCGUCGAGACUCGGCGGGCGUGACAGCGAGGGUUCCCGCGUCGGCCUCAGACGUCCCCCCACUCCGUCGAAAUCCCGUUUCCGGUUCCCCGAGGCAGAGGAAGAGAGCACCCACCCACCACACAGUCUCUGAGCUGGGCAAAGGCCGCUAGAGAACUUUCUGGAGAACAAAGGGAUCUCUGUGGAUUGCCAGAUCUUCCUGCGACGCCCAGAGCGAGCCUCGACGUCUUGGCUGUGGAGAAUGUCACUUCAGGUGUCAUCUGAAGACCCCAGCCUCAGGCCUCUAGGACUGGGGCGGAAAAGGGUCCGAGCACAACAUUUGUGAUUGAAAAAGGAGAGACUUUUCCUGAAGGAUCCAGUGCUGGCUGAGGGACCGGGUUGGGGGAGAGGUCACUGUCUGAGCACAGACCCCAUCCCUCUGCCGGAGGCACUGACCAGGGAGGGGACAGGGACCCUGGGCUUUAGGGACGGGCCAGUGGCAGAGGGCUUAGUCCAGUGUCCCGCUGCAAAGCCAGACGCUUGUCCUCGGCUGCAUGUGGUGAUGCUUCAGCACGUCUUACAGCCUCAGUUUUCUUACCCACCAGGGUCGAGAAUUGUAGACCUCGGAUGGACGGCAUGACACCGAACCUGCGACCUCGAUCUGGGGGACAGAUUAAGGAGUAAAACCUGACAAGGUCCCCACAUGCCAGAAAUGGGGCGGCGUGAGCUUCGGCGAGCGUGGCAGCCGUGGCCGAGGGUAAACGCGUGGGUGCGCUGAGAUCGGUCACCUCGAGGAAGACGGGUCAGCUCCUGGGGGACAAGCAGGUGAAGAGGAAGAAGCAGUACUUUCCCCGCCUUUCCCUUGGGACCGGCACCCACUAGCGUGGACGGGAAUGCCGGAGCAUCGCCCCUUCGCGGCUCCUGCCGCGGGGGCCCCUCCGACGGAAAAGCAGACCUUCGCGCCCUGACGGAGAACAGCGGCCCCGAGGGUUGGCCCAGGGGGCGGGGCCUGAGUGAUGGGGCCCCCGGCCUGGCCGCCACCUCGUGGAGCCCUGGAUGGGGCGGGCAAGCCGCGUGUGGAGGGGGCGCCGGCAGCCCACAGACGGCGGGGAACCGGCAGGGGCGGGGGGCAGAUCCAGAGUAAGGCAAAGAAGGGAUGUUGAAGGCCCUGGUGUGUGUCACCAGCGUUACUGUCCCCUCUCCCUGCCGAGACCCCAGGGGUCCCCUCAAAGCUUCCCCAGGGGCUUCUGGGGGGAAAGCCCUUGAGAGCGAGACCCCCCAGACGGCACGCAGGACUUUCUCACCCCCUGUGGUGGCCGUGGCUCCAGGCGGGCAGGUCUGGGCUCCACUCUGAACCCCCGUCUCCAGGUUUCAGGGUGGCGGUCGCCCCCACAGCCCAAGUGGAGAGACGGGCCCGGGAACGGUGGCUGGUUUUGUGUGUGCGGCUCUUUCUUGUUCCGAGGUGGGGUGCUGGCCUCCUGGCCUGUACAAGGGGGAGCGGGGACCAGGGUGGCCGCCUCCCUGACCCCUGCCAGGCGUUUCCCGUCGGGGUCCCUGCUGCCUUCCUGUCUCCAGCCGGCCGCCAUCUGCGUGCCACGCCCUCCCUCCCAGCUCCCUUGGGCUGCUGUGUUCUACCUCGCUGGCUUUUUAAGAACCGAUGGGCUCUGUACGCUCAGGCAGGCCACCGGCCCCCGCCCGCCUGUCCCAGACUGCCACACAGGAGAGUCUGGAUGGAAGGCAGCCAGCAUGUUUCCACACCCACCGAGCUGAAGUGGGGGGCUGCCGAUGUGUUUCCGGGGGGCCUCAGCACGGGCUGUCUGGAGGGUCUCGGCCGCGUGUCAGAGUGAGCAGGUCCUGCCCCGACGACAGAGCCACAGUCACUAUCCACUGGACCGUGACUUAAAUCCCCAGCACGCUUACCCAGCUGGGAAGGAGCCGGGGUCCCUCCCAAAGCAGGAGUGAGGAGGAAGUCAGAGAUCGGACAUGGAAAGGGGGGCGUUUCCCUUCCCAGGACAGUCUCGCCCUGGGCCUGGUGCCCAGCCCGAGGCCCGGGACUGCCAGCCAGCGGGCAGUCCUCUGCCGGUCCCACGCCAGCCUCGCUCCUCAGGGUGCAGCGGCCACUGGGCCACCACCCGGCGCUGCCCUUUAUCUGAGCAGGUGACCCCUUAGGACAGUUUUCCUGUCUUAUCUCCGGCUGUAGGCAUUGCAGUCUGGCCACAGCGUUCCCGCAUCCUGACCAGUCUGCUCUGGGGCCGGCCAGGCUGGCGUGGUUUCAGCCGCCCAUUCUUUAAGUGACACCCCCCAAGCUGACUUUACUUCUUCCUGCUGGGCCGAAGACACAGGAGUUACACCCAGCAGGAGGCCGCUCCCCCUGCCCUCCCCUGGGGGCCGGAGUCAGAACCUGCCACCGCAGUGAGCAGGCCGCAGGCCAGGGCAGGGUGAUCGGGCCCAGAGGGGACCGUCCCACCUCCUGGGUCACCUGGGGUGAGCAUGGCAGAGCCAGAGCAGUAGCCGACCUGACAGGAAAACCUAGAGACCAGAGACGUGUGGCCGGGGCUCGGAUGCGGAGGUGAUGGCCGCAGGGUGCGGGCUUCUCUCUGGGGUGAUGAAAUGCUCAGGUCGGCUGUGGUGGUGGAUGCACUUGGAAACCAUUGACUUGUACCCUUUAAGUGGGUGAGUUUGGUGGCGUUUGAAUUCUGUCACAAUAAAGCUGUUAGAAAGGUGGACAAAUAA